rnacentral:tmRNA from 1 species
GGGGCCGAUCCGGUUUCGACGUGAAUGUUGAAGUUGUGGAGUGCAUGCCGAGCACCAGUACGCUCGUAAAUCCACUGGAAACAAGUUAAACGCGAACGACGAAAGUUUCGCUCUCGCGGCCUAAGGGCUGCGGGCCUCGCAACGGUUCGCUGAUGGGCCGGGGUGGCAACACCUGCGAGGUCAUUCACAUCAGCUCGUGAUUGCGCGCGCCGCGUGCGCAACCACUAAAUCCAGCGGAUCGCCUUUCCGGGAGCGUGUGCAUCCGCGCCUGGGGGGUUAAAACCAAACGAUGACACUAAGCAUGUAGAGCUUGCGACGGAUAGUUUGCGGACGGGGGUUCAAUUCCCCCCGGCUCCACCA